AACGCUAGCUACAGGCUUAACACAUGCAAGUCGAGGGGCAGCAGGGAUUUAGCUUGCUAAAUCCGCUGGCGACCGGCGCACGGGUGCGUAACGCGUAUCCAACUUUCCCGUUACUCAGGGAUAGCCUUCCGAAAGGGAGAUUAAUACCUGAUGGUGUUUGAAAUUCGCAUGUUCUUCAAACUAAAGAUUUAUCGGUAACGGAUAGGGAUGCGUGACAUUAGAUAGUAGGCGGGGUAACGGCCCACCUAGUCUACGAUGUCUAGGGGUUCUGAGAGGAAGGUCCCCCACACUGGAACUGAGACACGGUCCAGACUCCUACGGGAGGCAGCAGUGAGGAAUAUUGGUCAAUGGUCGGAAGACUGAACCAGCCAAGUAGCGUGAAGGAUGAAGGUUCUAUGGAUUGUAAACUUCUUUUAUAUAGGAAUAAAACAUCCCACGUGUGGGAUCUUGUAUGUACUAUAUGAAUAAGCAUCGGCUAACUCCGUGCCAGCAGCCGCGGUAAUACGGAGGAUGCGAGCGUUAUCCGGAUUUAUUGGGUUUAAAGGGAGCGUAGACGGGAUGUUAAGUCAGCUGUGAAAGUUUGGGGCUCAACCUUAAAAUUGCAGUUGAUACUGGUGUCCUUGAGUGCGGUUGAGGUAUGUGGAAUUCGUGGUGUAGCGGUGAAAUGCUUAGAUAUCACGAAGAACUCCGAUUG
rnacentral:rRNA from 1 species